rfam:TPA: Bos taurus chromosome 16, whole genome shotgun sequence.
UCCCGGGCGGUCCAGUGGUUAGGACUCAGCACUUUCCAUGCUGUGGCCUGAGUUCAAUCCCUGGUUGGGGAA